GGAAAAGGUGUCUCAAAAGCUGUUGAGCACGUCAAUAAAACAAUUGCACCUGCACUGAUUAGCAAGAACGUCAAUGUGGUGGAGCAAGAAAAGAUAGACAAACUGAUGCUGGAAAUGGAUGGAACGGAGAACAAAUCUAAAUUUGGUGCCAAUGCCAUCUUGGGUGUAUCUCUGGCUGUUUGCAAAGCUGGUGCUGCUGAGAAGGGUGUCCCCCUGUACCG
rnacentral:misc_RNA from 1 species